UACGAAGGGUGCAAGCGUUAAUCGGAAUUACUGGGCGUAAAGCGUGCGUAGGCGGUUUGUUAAGUCUGUUGUGAAAGCCCUGGGCUCAACCUGGGAAUGGCAAUGGAAACUGGCGAGCUAGAGUCAGGUAGAGGGUGGUGGAAUUCCCGGUGUAGCGGUGAAAUGCGUAGAUAUUGGGAAGAACACCAGUGGCGAAGGCGGCUCACUGGCUCAUUUCUGACGCUCAGGCGCGACAGCGUGGGGAUCAAACAGG
rnacentral:rRNA from 1 species